GUUAUUACAGAGCCCGAGUUUGAGUUCCCUGAGUCCUAACAGCAAAUUCCCACUGGUUGUCUAUUUACAAAUGUUGGUGUACAUGCAUCCAUGCUGCUCUCUCCAUUCAUGUCACCCUCUCUCUCUUGUUCCCCACCCUGGUCCGUGAGUCUGUCCUCUAUGUCUGCAUCUCCAGUGCUGCUAUGUGAACAGAUUCGUCAGACCCAUCCUUCUCGAUUCUAUGUUUUUCUUUUUCUGACUGACUUCCUGUUUAAUAUGCUCUCGGUUCAUCCCCUUCUUUAGAACGGACUCAAAUGUGUUCCUUUUUAUGGUUGCAUUCCAUCCAGGCUCUGACUGUUCCCUAGCCAUGUUUUGAGGAGGGUCAUGGAGCCAUUGUGCUCCAUUUCAGUUUGGGCUUCCAGUCUGAGUGCUCACAGCAGAGCUGCUUCUGGGUGAGCCCUCUGAGGUCUGCGAGCAUGGGGCUGCCCACUCUUCCCUGGCGGGAGCUUUGUCUCCUCAGGGCCCUCAGGGCUCGGGCUCUGGGGUCACGGGGCUGCGUCCCGGCUGAGAGGAGCAGGGUUGCCUUUGUGCCCGCCAGCAGGGAGGCGCUGCAACAGGAGAAAAUGAGGAUGAAGUAGACGUUUCCUGUGUCCAGCUGAGCGCUGACCGGAGACUGCCCACAGUACUUCUUCAUUCCAUGUGGACUCCUUCAAGGACAGUGGAGCAUCACAGCUUCCCUUGAACUUCUCCUGGAAUAUAUAGGUGAACUAUAAAGAAAGCUGAGCACAGAAGAAUGGAUGCUUUUGAACUGUGGUGUUGGAGAAGACUCUUGAGAGUCCCUUGGACUGCAAGGAAAUCCAACCAGUCCAUCCUAAAGGAAAUCCGUUCUGGGUGUUCAUCGGAAGGACUGAUGUUGAAGCUGAAACUCCAAUUUUUGGAGAGCUGACUCAUUUGAAAAGACCCUGAUGUUGGGAAAGAUUGAAGACAGGAGGAGACGGGGACGACAGCGGAUGAGAUGGUUAGAUGGCACCAGCGACCCAAUGGUUACGAGUUUGGGUAAACUCUGGGAGUUGGUGUUGGACAGGGAGGCCUGGCGUGCUGCGGUUCAAUGGGGGUCGCAAAGAGUCAGACACGACCAAGCGAAUGAACAGAACUGAACUGAACUGAAAAACAAAUGCUGUUCAAGGACACUGAAAGAACCCUGAUGUUGAAAAUCAGAUCUGUAUUGUGAGCAAUGCUUAGAAAUCCAUGAGUUGACACAUAGUAUUAAGCCUAUCAUCCUUGUAGUUCCCUCAGUGAAAUAUGUUGCGAAAAGCUCUUCCUUCAUGGUAUAGAUUCAUGAAGAAGCUAAAUAGCAUGAAUCCUUUACGUUGACAACUGUGAAUUUAAAUCUCCUGUGAAUCCUAUGUGACAACCACACAUACCAACAUGAUUUAUUAGUAUUAUAUCAAUAUUUUUAGUCCUACUGUCUUUCAACUAAAAAUGUCACUAUACAAUGGUACAUGAAGUCAAGACACAAAAUCAGGGCAAAUACAAAAUAUUCCAUCCUUUGAGAAAGGGAGCUAAAAAAUAAUGUGCUUUGCCUAUUGCAUUUUUAUGUAUUAGAUCCUUAAGUAUUUUAUUCACCACACCCAACUGAAUGGUUCACAAAAGUUUCAGAGAGGAAAGGAUUAUUUCUCUUUAACAAUAAGGAGUUCAACUGCUCUCAAAGCAAAUACCAGACGGUAAUCACCAUGAUGGACAAAGUUGAUUAUUCAUAUUUAUAUUACUCAUUCGUUAGCUUGCCAAAGGUUCUAGAUCUGUUACCACAUUUUUUAAAAAUAAUAUUCACAUGUGAAAGUGAAAGUGGCUCAGUGGUGCCUGACUCUUUGUGACGCCAUGGACUAUAGAGUCCAUGGCAUUCUCUAGGCCAGAAUACUGGAGUGGGUUGCCUGUCCCUUCUCCAGGGAAUCUUCCUGACCCAGGAAUGAAACCGGAGUCUCCUGCAUUCAGAAAAAUCAUGUCCUUUGAAUUUUCAUUUUAUUAUAUAGGAUCACGGCAAUGUGAUUACAUAAAAUUGUUUAGUUUCCUUUACGUUUCUCCUGUUUGAUAUAGAUAUCAGCUUUUGAUUCUAUC
ensembl:lncRNA